rnacentral:rRNA from 1 species
GGGAUAGCCCAGGGAAACCUGGAUUAAUACCGGAUGAGACGGGACCCGCGAUGGCGGGACCCGGAAAGGCGCUGCGGCGCCGCCGGGGGAUGAGUCUGCGUCCCAUUAGCUAGACGCGGGGUAAGGCCCACCGUGGCGACGAUGGGUAGCCGGCCUGAGAGGGUGGACGGCCACAUUGGAACUGAGACACGGUCCAGACUCCUACGGGAGGCAGCAGCUAAGAAUCUUCCGCAAUGGGCGAAAGCCUGACGGAGCGAACCGCCGCGUGAACGAAGAAGGCCGUGAGGUUGUAAAGUUCUUUUCGGGAGGGGGAACAACCGUGGCAGGGAAUGGCCGCGGGAUCGUACGUCCGAAUCCGGAAUAACGUCCCGGCUAACUACGUGCCAGCCGCGGC